AGCUUUGAGCGGUGGUAGCACCGUCGCCUCUGAGGUUUAACCAAGGCACGAUUGUUCCUGAUUGAAAACAUGAGACUAAAUUCCAGCCCCUCCUCCCGUCAGUGGCAGGCCAAGGCU
rnacentral:snRNA from 1 species